UACGUAGGGACCAAGCGUUGUUCGGAUUUACUGGGCGUAAAGGGCGCGUAGGCGGCCACCGCAAGUCGACUGUGAAAUCUCCGGGCUUAACUCGGAAAGGUCAGCCGAUACUGCAGGGCUAGAGUCCGGAGGAGGCGAGUGGAAUUCCUGGUGUAGCGGUGGAAUGCGCAGAUAUCAGGAGGAACACCAUAGCGAAGGCAGCUCGCUGGGACGGUACUGACGCUAAGGCGCGAAAGCGUGGGGAGCGAACAGG
rnacentral:rRNA from 1 species